CGGGUGGUAAUGCCGGAUGUUCCAGUUGAUCGCAUGGUCUUCUGGGAAAGCUUUCGCGGUAUGGGAUGGGGUCGCGUCCUAUCAGCUUGACGGCGGGGUAACGGCCCACCGUGGCUUCGACGGGUAGCCGGCCUGAGAGGGCGACCGGCCACAUUGGGACUGAGAUACGGCCCAGACUCCUACGGGAGGCAGCAGUGGGGAAUAUUGCACAAUGGGCGCAAGCCUGAUGCAGCGACGCCGCGUGAGGGAUGGAGGCCUUCGGGUUGUAAACCUCUUUUAUCGGGGAGCAAGCGAGAGUGAGUUUACCCGUUGAAUAAGCACCGGCUAACUACGUGCCAGCAGCCGCGGUAAUACGUAGGGUGCAAGCGUUAUCCGGAAUUAUUGGGCGUAAAGGGCUCGUAGGCGGUUCGUCGCGUCCGGUGUGAAAGUCCAUCGCUUAACGGUGGAUCCGCGCCGGGUACGGGCGGGCUUGAGUGCGGUAGGGGAGACUGGAAUUCCCGGUGUAACGGUGGAAUGUGUAGAUAUC
rnacentral:rRNA from 1 species